CAGCAGUAGCCGCGGGAAUACGUAGGUGGCAAGCGUUGUCCGGAAUUGUUGGGCGUAAAGGGCUCGCAGGCGGUUUCUUAAGUCUGAUGUGAAAGCCCCCGGCUCAACCGGGGAGGGUCAUUGGAAACUGGGAAACUUGAGUGCAGAAGAGGAGAGUGGAAUUCCACGUGUAGCGGUGAAAUGCGUAGAGAUGUGGAGGAACACCAGUGGCGAAGGCGACUCUCUGGUCUGUAACUGACGCUGAGGAGCGAAAGCGUGGGGAGCGAACAGGAUUAGAUACCCCAGUAGUCCCUGUCUCUUAUAC
rnacentral:rRNA from 1 species